UAGAAGAGACAAUGCUAAAAUCAGUAAUAAGGGGGUGUUAGACCCCCUCCUAGCACAUGUGUAAGUCAGAGCGGACUAACCCCUGGCAAUCACCGGACCCAAACGGAGAGGGAAUAAAAACGGAUCACAACACACAAGAAAACACUAUUGAAACACAACCGUUACCCCAACACAGGUGUGCGCUAAGGAAAGACUAAAAGGGGAGGAAGGAACUCGGCAAACACAAACCUCGCCUGUUUACCAAAAACAUCGCCUCUUGCCAACAAAGAAGUAUUAGAGGUCCCGCCUGCCCUGUGACCGCAAAGUUUAACGGCCGCGGUAUCCUGACCGUGCGAAGGUAGCGUAAUCAUUUGUCUUUUAAAUGAAGACCUGUAUGAAUGGCAUAACGAGGGUUUAACUGUCUCCCUUCCCCGGUCAAUGAAAUUGAUCUACCCGUGCAGAAGCGGGUAUAUAACCAUAAGACGAGAAGACCCUAUGGAGCUUUAGACAAAGGAUCGCGCAUGUAAAGAAGGCCUAUUGUCCAAAAGGACUACAGUGACCAUAAAACCAAAUGUACAACGAACCGAGUGUCUUCGGUUGGGGCGACCAUGGGGGAGAGAAAAGCCCCCACGAGGAACGGGGAAACCCUGAGCUAAGAAGGACACUUCUAAGCAACAGAAAAUCUGACCGCAACUGACCCAGGACAACGCUCCUGAUCAACGAACCAAGUUACCCUAGGGAUAACAGCGCAAUCCUCUCCCAGAGUCCAUAUCGACGAGGGGGUUUACGACCUCGAUGUUGGAUCAGGACAUCCUAAUGGUGCAGCCGCUAUUAAGGGCUCGUUUGUUCAACGAUUAAUAGUCCUACGUGAUCUGAGUUCAGACCGGAGUAAUCCAGGUCGGUUUCUAUCUAUGAUAUUUCUUCUUCCUAGUACGAAAGGACCGGAAUGAAGGGGGCCAAUACUGAUAGCAAGCCUCACCCUUACCCGCUGAAAGCAGAUGAAUCGG
rnacentral:rRNA from 1 species